rnacentral:lncRNA from 1 species
UGAGAUUCUGUAUAUGUGCAUGACUAUGACAUCAAACCAGGUCCAUUUAAUCACAGCAUUUACACUGAAUUUCAGUCAUAAAGGACCUCAGAGGUUAUAAAAUUCAACCUAUCAAAUCAUGUAAGGAACCUGAGUGCUGAUCAGAGGUAAGAUUUGAACCGAGAUUUCUUUGACUUUAGAGUCAAUACGCC